rnacentral:rRNA from 1 species
GGACGACUGGAGGACUGUCGUGGGUUAAGUAGGGGGUUGGAUUUGUCGUUGGGCCGGGCUGCCCAUGUUGAAGGGGUGAAAUCUUCUAGUUCUCGGGGCGCUCGGCCAUUAGAGAAUUUCUUGAGGCUUUUAAGGCCGGGGGACAGAAUAGGAUUAGAUACCCUACUAUGCCCGGUUUAAAUCAUAAGCUCCUUUGGGUAGUAAACAGCUAUGGUCUCGAAACUCAAAGGAUUUGGCGGUACUCAAUUCUGUUUAGAGGAACCUGUGUAGUAAACGAUAGUCCGCGAACAUCUGACUCUACUUCGUGCGAUGAUCAGUCUGUAUACCGCCAUUAUAAGAUAAUCCUUACAGGGAACUAUCACAAUCAACUGGGUUGAAUAUAUUAGGUCAAGGUGCAGCCGAUAGUAGAGCUGGCAUGGGUUACAGUGAGAUAAGUUUUAUACGGACGGGCUUUUGUAAUAGAGCUCUGAAGGUGGAUUUAAAAGUAAGCUCGGUGGAUCACGCUGGGUUGAUAAGAGCUCUUGGGUGUGUACACAUCGCCCGUCGUUCUCACUCU